rnacentral:rRNA from 1 species
AACCUGGUUGAUCCUGCCAGUAGUCAUACGCUCGUCUCAAAGAUUAAGCCAUGCAUGUGUAAGUUCAACUAUAUGAUCUGAAAACUGCGAACGGCUCAUUAUAUCAGUUUUCGUCUAUUUGACAGUCCCUUUACUAUUCGGAUACCCGUAGUAAUUCUAGAGCUAAUACGUGCGUCACACUCGUAAGAGUGGCGUUAUUAGAUAGAAACCAUCCCGUUUCGGCGG